CUACGUCUUCUCUUCUCGAUUACAAUAUACCCCUAAUUCAAAACCCAAAAAUCUUCAAAUUUUCACCACUUCGGUUCUAAAUCACCAAAUUCCCCAAAUUCAUCCAUCAAUUCACCAAAAUUCGGAUCCUGUCGCUAGAAAGACACAAAUCCGGUCGAUCGUCACUCAUCUCCGACGCGAAUCACCGGCGAUGCACAUGAGAUGCUUUUCCUCUUUUAUUCCCCAAUCUACUAUCACCAUCAGCAGGCGUCAUUUUAACAAAUUUCUAGGGUUUCUCAAGCUCUUUCAACAGUCGUGAUUUCUAGGGUUCAUCCUGAUUCCAGUAUGAUGAUCAAUCUCUAUUCUAAUUCAACUGCAUCUUCUUCUUCCAUUGCUUCUAUCGGCUCUCGGAUUCGUGUCAAUUAUAAGCUGGUUAUUGUUACGGCAUUGAAUCCAAAUAGCUUUUCAGUUGCUUUCAGUGGCAUCUCACAUUGUUGGAUAUCCACGUAUGGGCCCCAAGAGAGAGCUGAAAUUUGCUCUCGAAUCGUUCUGGGACGGCAAGAGCACCGCCGAAGAUUUGCAAAAGGUGGCUGCUGAUCUCAGAUCAUCCAUCUGGAAACAGAUGUCCGAUGCUGGCAUUAAGUACAUCUCUAGCAACACAUUUUCGUACUACGAUCAAGUUCUCGACACCACCGCCAUGCUCGGUGCCGUCCCCGCAAGAUACAACUAGAACGACGGUGAAAUCGGUUUCGACACUUACUUCUCCACGGCUAGAGGAAACGCUUCGGUUCCUGCUAUGGAAAUGGCCAAGUGGUUUGACACCAACUCCUGAAGCAUUCAAAACGCUAACUUCCUUGCCUGGCGUUAGCGGUUACACUUUUGAUUUGGUCCGUGGUGAAAAGACUCUCGGUUUGAUCAAAAGCAGCUUCCGGUCAGGCAAAUACCUGUUUGCAGGAUUUUUUUUCUUCCUUUCAUGCUUUUUUACGGAUUUAUUAUAAUUAAGAAAGUCAAUGUAUAUGGAUGUUGACUUCCUAUAGUAAUUCUGGGUGGACUUUAUGUUUUCUUAUUCUUUUAAUUGCACAGGCUUUGGAUUAUUGUAUAAAUGGGUGAUCACUUAAUUCUUGAUUUGAAUCGCUUGGUGAAGCCUGUGGGCGGGGAAACCAUAAAAAAGACAGAGGAGAUGGCGGGCCCCACAUCUUGCACCGAUUUAGCUCGUGCAGUUGAUGAAAACGGGCCCACAGAUGAUGAGGAACAAGCACCUUUAUUAGCAACAGCAGAAUGUCGUAUUUGUCAAGAGGAAGAUUCAGUUGAAAUUUUGCUCUGGGGUCUAACAGAUACAUGCUUGAGUGGGAAAUGUGGACUGUCUGGAACCGGAGGAAAGUGCUAAACAACAAAGAAGAAGCGCAAGCGAGAAAGAAGUAAGAACUUCCAUAUUAGUUUUUGUUUUAAAUACCCUCAAAUAUACAUCUUUUAUUCUUAUAUAAAUAGAGUACAAGGAUUUUGCAUGUAGUCUGCAGAUGUGUCAGGAGCUGUUAAUUUAUGCCAUUUUGCCUUUUUGCCCUUUAUGCUUUUGCGGGGCGAACCGGUACACUCCGCUGGAGUAGAAAAAAUUAGGUAUUUUGAAUUUUAUAUUUUAUUUGAACUUUGGUUGGUAGCAUACAGCUGAAAUGGGAAUUUGUUUUUACUUCAAAUUAAUGUUGAGCAUGAAAGUAUCCUAUCUUAAAUCUUCUACGCUUAUUAACAAUUGAUCUAUGUAAUAAUAGAAAAUUGAAGCAGUUCCAUUAGAUGAAUCAACACUUAUUUCACAACAUAACUAUAAGCUUGAUGUCCAUGUUCUUAAUAGACGCCAACCAGGAGAUGUCCUUAUUUCACAACAUAAGUUUGGUAUAUAAACAAUGUCUAUUGCUAAAUAUUUGAUAUUAUCUUUAGCUGAGCAUUCUUCAACUGUAGUUUGAAUGCAGGGAGUUUAGAGAAUUAAUUCUUGAAACUAUGCCACAUCACUGGGUGGUAUAAAGCAAUUGUUUCUCAAAUUUCCUCCUUUUAAUCAGUUGAAAAGUUCCGUCUUGGGCAGGAUAGGUGAGAUGAUACACCUAGAAAAAUUUCAAACUACCCGUUCCACAAGCCAAGAGGAAAGCCAUCCUCCAGGAAAAGACCCAACUAAAAAGAUUUCGAAUUUUAUCGGAAAAGCUGCAAAUUUUGCUAAAUCAGCCAAGAGUAAGAAGGCAUCAUCAUAUGUUCCUACAUAUCAUCCCAACUAAUGAUGGCCAUAACCAUGGAAAAGGAAGCCAUGGAGAUACCGUCUUUUUAACAAAUCAUGGGGAGGUAUACAUCUUACAGUGCUCUAUCUAGCAAAUUGUUGGUAACUAAGGCCAUGUGGUGUGAUCAUGUGAAGCGGUAUGGCAAUGGCAGCUACGGACUGGUUAUAAUCUACUCAACAUGGGGCAGCUAACGAAGGCAUGGCUAGUUUUGAAACUCUGUACCAAGUAUUUGAUGUUAGGAUAUAAACUCUUUAUAUUACAUGUGAAUUAUGUUAACAUAACUCGAGUUUUUGAUGUUUGAGUUUGUAACUCUUAAGUGGAAUGUUAUUAUAUAUAUUGAAAAUA